rnacentral:rRNA from 1 species
AUGUCGCAUGUUAUUGAUGAUGCCACUUCUACUAUGCAUGAUACUUAUGCUGAAACUACUUCUAUGCUUGAUACUACUGUGUCAUUAGAUGAAUUUCUUGAUGAACAACUUGCUAGGGCUAGAGAGAAUGAAAUUCUUGAAACUGAUAGUAUUGAUGAAAGUAAUGAUGAAGAUUCUCCCCCUAAAUAUGAAUUACCUGUUGUGCCUGAGGGUUAUGUUAUGGAUGAAGAAAUUGCUAGAGAUUUUCUUGCUUGCAAUGAUAGAUCUGAUCUUAAGAAGUUAUUAGCUAAGCUGAAACAAAAGUCUCUGAAUGCUAGAAUGAAACGACCCUGCUUUUGCUACUUCACCUAUCUGUGUUACUGA